UCCGUAGGUGGAUAAUUAAGUCAGAGGUGAAAUCCUGCAGCUCAACUGUAGAAUUGCCUUUGAUACUGGUUAUCUUGAAUUAUUAUGAAGUAGUUAGAAUAUGUAGUGUAGCGGUGAAAUGCAUAGAUAUUACAUAGAAUACCAAUUGCGAAGGCAGAUUACUAAUAAUAUAUUGACACUGAUGGACGAAAGCGUGGGGAGCGAACAGGAUUAGAUACCCUGGUAGUCC
rnacentral:rRNA from 1 species